rnacentral:tRNA from 1 species
GCUGCAGUAGUGCAAUUGGUUAGCGCACAGUACUUGUGGAGCAGUGCUGGGGGAGCGAGGCUGAGGUUGAAGUUGUGAGUUCAAGCCUCACCUGGAGCA